UUGGCAUUCGACGGCCGUCGAACCGCUUUCCAACUAUUCGACCCUUUUCUCUCUCUCUCUCUAUCCUAUUCGUGCGGGCUAUUAUGUUUCGACUGCUCCGCUCCCGAUCUCUCCCCCACCCCCCUCCCACUUUUUUUUUCUAUUUUAUUAUUUUGGUUAGAAUUCCCGAGUCUUCCCAACAACACGCAACCCAAAAGAUGGCGCAGUUCGGCGCGCGCUGUUCAGUCCGUGUCGGGCUGUCAGCGGGAUCAGCCGCUCCGUUCGAGAGCUCCCGUUUUGAUUGUUACACAUUUCUUCAAAUUGAAAUGAAAUCAACGUCCUGUGCGAUUAUCUUAUUCUGUGAGAAAUGAUGUCAUUCAUCUCAGUGGUGACUUUAAAGUGAGUGCAAUCAAAAAUAUCCACGUCUGUGUCAAAAUCGAAAAAGUGUUUGUUUGUUUGUUUUUCUUUUCUUAAUUCGUCGUGCAAAAUGUUUGUAACAAGCAGUGGGGGCACGUGGCUAGUGACCAAAAUAAAUCUGCUGUGAUGAAUCUGCGUCUACUUAUCGUUGAAACGAGCUGAUGAAAUGACACAAGACUUCAUCAAGAGUCGCUUCGUUCCAGUCGGAUUACAUAAUGACGACCCGUUAAUUUCCCAUUUGUCCGAGCUCUGGCCCAUAUCAAUCAUCCCUAUCGCCACCCGUAAUAACAAGAGAGGAGAAAGAAGAAAAAAACUCAUCACGACAUGAUGAACAGCUGAGCAGCUCACAGAUGGGCCAUCAUCAUCAUCUCCUGGUUGAUUUACAAAAAAGAAAAAAAGAAGAAAAAAUCUUUUUCCAUCUUUUUUUUUUCUCUCUGUGAUGAUUCGCCGCCCAGGAAAAGAAAAAGAAAAAAGUGAAGAGGGAAAAGAGGACCCGCAACAUCAAGGUACAGUCACUGCGCCUCUUCACAUAUGUAGACGUAUCCGCAUGAUUGCCAAAAGGAUCUUUUAGUUCGGUACAAAGAACACACACACACACAAAUAACAAACAGCUCCUCCACCCCCCACCCACCCCACCCAACCCCUCCUUUAUGGAAAAGACCAACGACAAAGACGAGCCGACAUGUUUUUUGUUUGUGUCCGAUCCUUUUUUUUUUUUUGUUACUAUUAUUACGGCGACGUGUGUACGGACAUAAAAGGAGAGAUGAUCGUCCCAAUGAAGGAUCCAUUACACACGCAUGUCCUGUCACUGUCGCGCGUCAUAAAACUACGUUCGUUGAAUGUUUUAGUAGUAACAGAGUAUCAACAACGUUUGACGGACAGCGUGGAAUUUCGGGGUGAAAAAAUACAAAAAAAUUGAUUCAAUUUCAAUUUGCGUCAAGAUGACGAGAGAGCUAGAAGGAAUAUUGGAUGUUAAAGAGGAAAGAUUGAGAGAAUCGUGACAAAAGAAGCUAGAGAGAGAGUGGGGGGGGGGGGGACUAGAUAUAAUACUCUGAGCUUUGAUCAUCUGUUGGCGCUCUGUCGAUCCCGAUGACUUUCCUGCUACUGAUGCCAGUCCGUCUCCCGACGCAAAAAGGGGUGGGGUCUGCGAGGGUUUUAAUCAAGGAGACCUGCUCCCUGUGUACCACACAGACAGACAGACAGAUAAGAAAGAGAGAGAGAACUCACUCCGACUAAAUGUGUGUAUGGCUAAUGUUUGAAAUUGCAGCUCGAGCUGCCAUCCAUUUGUCUAAUGACUAUCCCACACUUGUUAUACACAGCAUCGUCAAAACGAACGUAUUAGUAGAAAGUAGAGUAGAUAGACAUCUAAAUCCCCCCCUCCCCAAUCCAGGGCUUUUUACCCUAUAGGAAAAAAUCGGCCGCCAAUGAAAGAAAACGCAGAAACUAUCAGUGAUUAAAAUAAUAUCGAUUUCUUCUCUUCUUUCCUUUUUUAGAUUUCCUUUGACCGUUGCCAUGUGAAAUUGAAAAUUUUCUUCUUCUUUUUUCCAAGGGCUUCAUUCCAAUUUUCGGGUGGGGCUUUUAACCUUCGCCUGCGCUGCCAAGGACUAAUCAACUCGGUGCAAAGGUGGAUCAUCCACUUACCAAUCGCCUUUUAGCCUCCCCCCCUUCGUCAGCUUUUCUCUUUCCCAAAUUCAAAAGGUUUCUUCGUCUCUCCGGCGCAUAAAUCACCGUGGAUCGAUUUUCCCCCCUUUUUUUGAAACUUUACAACCAAUUCAGUUCGAAAUCAAAUGAGAAAUAUGACCUAAAUAACGAUUUUCAUAACUACUACUACUACUACGGUACUACUAGUAGAGAAAAAGAGAGAUGGAUAGAGGGGGCGUACCGUGCAUGCGCCGACCGGAAACAGGAAGAAGCGCUUGGGCAAAUUUCCAUAUGCGCCGAUGAUGCUGGAUGUUCAAAGCAGUCGGGUGACCCAGCGGUGACCUGGCAGCAAUCCCCCCCUCUCUCAUUUUCGUUCCUGUGAAAUCAAAUCGAAAAAAUAAAAAUAAAAAUAUGAACAUAAAGCAUCUCCUCCCUGUUUUUAAAAAAAACAUUUGAAAAUAAAAAGAUAAAACAUCAUCACGUAACAUGUAUCAAACUUUCUCUUUUUCUCUCUCUCUCUCACUCAUUAUGAAUUGUGACAUCUCUCUCGGGAGUCAAUGCAUAAAUCUAAAUCCCCCAACUCAAAUUUUCGGUACUUUUUUUUUUUUUAUUCUGGCUGUGUGUUUCCUUUUUCGGGAAAAUAAAAAUUCUACUUCCGCUUCUAUGACACAGUCCAAUGGGUUCAUCUCCGCUCGAUCCUCCUCCUUCCUCUCCUUUUUUUUUCGAUUCCCCUCCCUCCGUUUUUUUUUCUUUUUCCAAUUCGUCCCGACACACACACGGAAAAUGGGUUCGUCGUCGUCGUCGUGUGCACCGAUCGAUUUGAGAGAGGAUUGAAUUGAAUGGAUUCAUCCUCACAAAUCCAAUUCGACAACAAUAUCCUGUGGAAUUUGCCAGUUCCCCCCCUCCUCCGGAAGACGUUACCGACGGAAUCAAAUCAAAUGAAAAAGAAAAAAAAGGGAAAAGGGGAAGACAAAAUUCAAGUCGACAGAAAAAAUGUUGUCGAAUUUCAUUCCUCAAUAAUAAUCAACGCCAAUUGUUUUUCCUGUCAAAGACUUGGGACCUGUUCCGCAUUGACAAAUUUCAACAAAUUGUCAGUGGCAAGUCGCUCACCCGCGUCUUACGGUACAACAACAACAACAACUGAGAUACUUCGUUUUUUUUAUUUGUCAAUCUCACGUCAAUCAAUCACAAUACGCCAUUCCCUGGAAAAUUAAAUAAAAUAUAAAAAUAUAAUGACCCUGACCGAAAUGUAAUUU